rnacentral:tRNA from 1 species
GGAGAGAUGUCCGAGCUGGUCGAAGGAGCACGAUUGGAAAUCGUGUGAGGGGCCAAAAGCUUCCUCCGAGGGUUCGAAUCCCUCUCUCUCCGCCA